rnacentral:lncRNA from 1 species
AGCAACUGAGUCUAUACUAUAAAAUUAUAGCCUUAAAACUAUCCUUUCUACAACUAGGUUAUGACAGGGUUGGUAACCAGGACAACGUAUGAUUCUUGCUUAUACAAUAAAGCUCUCAGACUUUAAUGAAACUUACUUGGUUUGAUCGAAAGCAUUACUUCAUUCUGGAAAACCAUGACCUGUAGAUUUCCAAAACAAUUAUAAUUGCUAAACAAAUGACAUGACAGAUUUUUUUUUUUUAAUUUAGCAUUUCACUAUAGGUAACCCUAACAGUAUGUCUCCAUCCUUAGCUAUAGGGAGGCUAAGAAUUGCUAUGGCAGGAAGGCAAAAAAAUGAAAAUAAGAAAAUCACUUUUUGACUUACAGAAUUACAUUUGUCAGUGGGUAUCUAUCAAGUAUUAGAUCUGGCUAACUUGAUCACCAAGGCAGUUAAUAAAAGCAAGAGAAAGAAUUCAGAGAUUGAAGAAAGAGAGGUACCAGAAAAGUAGGGGAAAUUAACCUUUUCUAGUUCAAUGAAAGUAUGCCCAACGCCAUAUUCCUCAUUCUGUCUUCCUGUAACAACUUGGGUUGAGGAAUCACCCAAAUGGACUUAAAGAGCUCAGGAUUCAGCCCGAAAACGUCUUUAAGAACAGAAUUGGAGGUGAUAGAGGAAGGGAACUCAAUGACUAGAAAUAAUGUCAGAACUCCAACGGCCAAUAUCUCCGAGCCCCGGUGGGGGACAUUUCAGGCCAUUAACUUACUAGUGUUGAAAAUCUGAAAUAAGUUACUCAGGCUAGAUACACAACCCCUAUUCACGUCUGCAUGAUCUCUCCCCCACAUGUGAGUCAAACUUUUAGGUUUGACAACCAGUCAUCUACACUCUCUUUAUACACACUAUGAUCAAACCCGCGCAUUUCUUGACAAAUACAACGGUACCCCACUGUAGACAAAUCCAAGGACUCUGACACAAAGCCUCAAAUAAGAGCAGACUCAUAAAGGAAAAACAAAAUUCCGUUUACAAUCCUGUGGGGAUUGUAAACAAACAUUAAACAAUCUGCACAUCGUUCUUUCAUCUCUGCCCAGCAUUGCCAACCCUGGAAACCCCGCAA